GAUGAACGCUGGCGGCGUGCCUAAUACAUGCUAGUCGAGCGAACAGAUGAGGAGCUUGCUCCUCUGACGUUAGCGGCGGACGGGUGAGUAACACGUGGAUAACCUACCUAUAAGACUGGGAUAACUUCGGGAAACCGGAGCUAAUACCGGAUAAUAUAUUGAACCGCAUGGUUCAAUAGUGAAAGACGGUUUUGCUGUCACUUAUAGAUGGAUCCGCGCCGCAUUAGCUAGUUGGUAAGGUAACGGCUUACCAAGGCAACGAUGCGUAGCCGACCUGAGAGGGUGAUCGGCCACACUGGAACUGAGACACGGUACAGACUCCUACGGGUGGCAGCAGUAGGGAAUCUUCCGCAAUGGGCGAAAGCCUGACGGAGCAACGCCGCGUGAGUGAUGAAGGUCUUCGGAUCGUAAAACUCUGUUAUUAGGGAAGAACAAAUGUGUAAGUAACUAUGCACGUCUUGACGGUACCUAAUCAGAAAGCCACGGCUAACUACGUG
rnacentral:rRNA from 1 species